rnacentral:rRNA from 1 species
UACGUAGGUGGCAAGCGUUAUCCGGAAUUAUUGGGCGUAAAGAGCGCGCAGGUGGUUGAUUAAGUCUGAUGUGAAAGCCCACGGCUUAACCGGGGAGGGUCAUUGGAAACUGGGAGGCUUGAGUGCAGAAGAGGAAAGUGGAAUUCCAAGUGUAGCGGUGAAAUGCGUAGAGAUUUGGAGGAACACCAGUGGCGAAGGCGACUUUCUGGUCUGUUACUGACGCUGAGGCGCGAAAGCGUGGGGAGCAAACAGGAUUAGAUACCCUGGUAGU